UAACGCGUGGGUAACCUGCCUCAUACAGGGGGAUAACAGUUAGAAAUGACUGCUAAUACCGCAUAAGCGCACGGGACUGCAUGGUCCAGUGUGAAAAACCGAGGUGGUAUGAGAUGGACCCGCGUCUGAUUAGCUGGUUGGCGGGGUAACGACCCACCAAGGCGACGAUCAGUAGCCGACCUGAGAGGGUGGCCGGCCACAUUGGGACUGAGACACGGCCCAAACUCCUACGGGAGGCAGCAGUGGGGAAUAUUGCACAAUGGGGGAAACCCUGAUGCAGCAACGCCGCGUGAGUGAAGAAGUAUUUCGGUAUGUAAAGCUCUAUCAGCAGGGAAGAGAAUGACGGUACCUGACUAAGAAGCCCCGGCUAACUACGUGCCAGCAGCCGCGGUAAUACGUAGGGGGCGAGCGUUAUCCGGAUUUACUGGGUGUAAAGGGAGCGUAGACGGUUCUGCAAGUCUGAAGUGAAAGCCCGUGGCUUAACCGCGGAACGGCUUUGGAAACUGUGGAACUGGAGUGCUGGAGAGGCAAGCGGAAUUCCUAGUGUAGCGGUGAAAUGCGUAGAUAUUAGGAGGAACACCAGUGGCGAAGGCGGCUUGCUGGACAGUAACUGACGUUGAGGCUCGAAAGCGUGGGGGAGCAAACAGGAUUAGAUACCCUGGUAGUCCACGCGGUAAACGAUGAAUGCUAGGUGU
rnacentral:rRNA from 1 species